GCCGACUCGGGAUCGGGGGCCUGAUAAAUCUGCCCCCGGCACCGUAUGAGAAAUCAAAGUCUUUGGGUUCUGGGGAGUAUGGUCGCAAGGCUGAAACUUAAAGGAAUUGACGGAAGGGCACCACCAGGCGUGGAGCUUGCGGCUCAAUUUGACUCAACACGGGAAAACUUACCAGGUCCAGACAUAGUGAGGAUUGACAGAUUGAUAGCUCUUUCUUGAUUCUGUGGGUGGUGGUGCAUGGCCGUUCUUAGUUGGUGGAGUGAUUUGUCUGGUUAAUUCCGUUAACGAACGAGACCUUAGCCUGCUAACUAGUCGCUGGGAUCUCGAUCGUCGUCGGCUUCUUAGAGGGACUUUGUGGCACUAAACACAAGGAAGUUUGAGGCAAUAACAGGUCUGUGAUGCCCUUAGAUGUCCUGGGCCGCACGCGUGCUACACUGACGCCUACAGCGAGUACUUCCCAGCCCCGAGAGGCGGCUGGUAAUCAGCAAUAUGAGUCGUGCUGGGGA
rnacentral:rRNA from 1 species